GGGAAGCAAGGGCUGCUCCUGGAUCUCCUCUCUCAAGUCAUUAGCUGGGGGCAUGGGGGUCUCACUUGGAUAAAUCUUGUCACAGGGAUGGGCUAGGCUGAUGUGCUGAGCCCUGGGCAGUAGGGUCCACCUCCACCAGAGUCACACAGGCAGGUCCUGUCAGCAGGGCCAUUUGCUAGAGGGGUGCUGACCACGUGUCAGUGUGGGAAGGCCUCAGCAUUCCCUUGGGGCAGUUUCUGUGACACUGCCUUUGCUUUUUCUGUGAGGAUGUUCUACAUGGUUCUGAUCCCAUGAGCAGCAAAUAUCUGCAGCAAAACUCAGGUCAGUCCCUGUCAUUAGGUCACUUUAUUGGCUGCUGGAGAGGUUAAUUAUGACCCUUUUUUGUAGUAUAAUUAGUUAACUAUUCAUCUUUGAUAGGCUGAGGUUUAAAACAUGAAAAAGAAGACCCCCUAAGAAAGGAAGGAAGCAAAAGGACCAGAGGGGAAUCUUUGCACUCUGGGAGUAACUCCUCGUGCAGAAUUCUAGACUUCACAACUCUGAUAUUUUCCCCCCCAUCAUUUUUCUGCUUGCGACCUGCAGUACAGAUGGGAGCCUGCUGACAAGAGGCUUUGCAGGUGGAACUGAUCUGGAGCAAGUAAGGAAGAGGCUUUGGGCUGGCAGGUCUCCUUUUACAACCAGGCAACAACAGAGGGCAACAGAUCCCCGCGGAACAGCCCACCUUCAGCAAGGCUUCCACCGGAUGACGCCGAUGGCAGUUGUGGCAGCUCUCUUCACUGCCUCGCAGGGGUCACUCAGGCACCGCUCAAGUGUGGCCGUGUGGUCCAGGAGCGUCUUGCGGCCCUCCGGGAGCUCAGCCAGCAUGGUGAGGACUUUGAGUGCGCUCAGUCGGGCUCUGCUGCUCUCUUCAGCCACCAGCUUCAGCAAGGGUGGGAUGGCUCCAGCGCCCAGAGCUGAGAAUCUCCCUGUGGAGACAUAAGCUGCCUUGAAAUGUGCUGCUGAACCGCUGCUGCCUGCCCAGCUGUGGCUCUGAGCACCCCAGAGGGUGCAGUGCCAAGACUCUGCACAAGAAUUUCCUUGGAAGCCAAGGCUGGCUGCCAGCUGGGUACUGGUAAGAGAAGAUCUUUCCUAGGUAACCUGCUCUGCCUUGCACAUGAUUAUUUCGUUGGCAACAAACUGCCUGAGAACAUUUGAGGAUAAGCUGCCUGGGAGGGGGUGUUGGACACCUUAGGAACAGCCUCUGUUUCACUUUUAAAGACACUUCAAACACUGAGAUCCACUCCUGAGUUGCCUUCAGAAGCCAGAGGCAUGCUUGCAGAGGAGGACUGGGAGACAACUGCUGCUAUGAAGAAUCUUUUAUGUCUAAUUACUCAUUCAUCACACUGAAAAUUUUGCAGUUAGUAUUUUCAGUGCCAUGUAAGUUACUUAGGAGGACUACACUCAUUAACAUUCCUCUCCCAGCUGUGUGAGAGAAGCUGCCUCUAGCCCCAAGAAACAGUGCUCCUCUGCUGAGCAGCUUCAGGUGUGGGAUCUCUCCUUCCCCUCUGGAGCUGCACUCGGGAGGGAAAUGAUGCAGGUGGGGGAGAGGAACAACUUCCUGACCUCUUUCAGGUGAAUGGAAUGUGACGCUGGGAGGGAGCAGUAACAAUUGCCCAAGAAAUGUCCUAAUCUUAGAGUUUCUUGAAGAGCUUUGACACUAUCAGAGGACUUGGGGGAGGAGGAGGGGCAAGGUUUUGUCACUAAGUUGCCUGAGAGUUGUAUUUGCAGAAGGUAUCCCAGGAGAACUGCCUCUGUCUCUCACCCUGGGGUGUGACUGUAGCAAACAUCAGUGCUCCUGCUGCACUGGCCUGGACCUCCGGAUCCGGAUCUUCCAGCAGGCUCACCAGCACAGGCACGGCCUCUCCGCAGACCAGGCUUCUUCCCUCCGGCUGCCUUCCCAUGGAGGCUCUGGAGGAGCUGGAGUCCAUGUGUCCAUCCAGAAGCCUUGGCUCUGUGGGUUACCUGUCAGGCACAGCAGCGCAGCGCCGGGGCUGCAGGCGAGCCUGCAGGCAGCUGUCCACCGGCUGCUGAGUGGAUGCUUGUUUGGCUGCAUUUGGCAUCAGUGGCAACUGCUGACUCAGCAGCUGAGCCAGUAACUGCGAGCUGCAAAUACAGCAGGUAAUAACGAACUGCUGGAGGAGCUGUGUGAGACACUUCACUGCUUUUUGGUUUGAUUGGUUUAUUCUUGUCAGAACUUUUGUCUGUUGAAAAUCUGGAGGAGUCCUUUCCUUUAGCUGUAACUUGUGAUCCGAGUUCACACUGUCAAAUGUCUCCCCUGAUUUGGCCUCACAGGAAGAGUAAACAGCUGAUACUACGUGAAACCCUCAGUUAGCUGAAGGAGGUGAGAAGAAAAUAACAGAAGAAUUUUCAUCAAAGCCAAAUGAGGGCAGGCUGAUACCACCUGCUGCAAGGUGCAUUCAUGAGUUUUGCCUCCCCAUCUCGCAGCCACUGGUACAGAGCAGCAAUGUGCCAGAUAGUUCUACAUAGCUGAUCCCAGUCAUCUGUACUUGAUGCUAUUUUGAACUCUUCCACGUGAGAAAAAUGGUUAAAAAUAAAAAUACAGCCUUUUUAUUCUCCUCUAGCUGUUCUGCUCAGCUCUGCAAGCUCCCAGAAUCACAGCCCCAUCUAUAAAUAUCUAACCCAGAUCUACAAUGGCUUGUGACAAAGAGGGUGUUUGGUAGAACCCUGAAUGAAAUACAACAUGUCUUUUCUUGUAUUUGUAUUGCAGAGCAGAUGUGGCCUCUCAGUGCACCCCCUAUCAUUUGGAGAUGUACGUUCACCAAGAACAUUGCAUGUGUGCACAGCAAUAUUUUGAUGUUGUCGUGGCAUAAUGAAGGGUAAUUGAUUAGAAAGAUCCCUGUGGGAUUUUCUACUUCAGAGCAUAUUUCUGGUUUAGCACUAUUGUCUUUGGUCCCUGUGUACAUGACAGCCUCUGUUUUGCCUGAUGCCAAAUAGAAAACAGGCGGGGAUUUGGCUUUCGGUCAAUGAACAGCACUGGCAAGUUGAGUGAAACUUGGGCGGUUAAGGGUCGCAGUGAGCUGCACAUCAGCUCUUGCACCUUGGCAGUCAGAUGCUGCUCCCUUCAGAUCAAAACCUGCUCUGGUAUGGGAAAAUGUGGUGAUCUGCUUGACAUGGAAGAGAGAGCAGGAAUCCUGUCAGAUCCCCAUGGGGCUCUCAAAUUACUGUUUACUAUUUUCAGGCAAAAAACGUGAUGCAAGCUACUGAUUUUCCCUAUGUGUUU